UACAGAGGGUGCAAGCGUUGUUCGGAGUUACUGGGCGUAAAGGGUGUGUAGGCGGUUGUUUAAGUUUGGUGUGAAAUCUCCCGGCUCAACUGGGAGGGUGCGCCGAAUACUGAAUGACUUGGAGUGCGGGAGAGGAAAGUGGAAUUCCUGGUGUAGCGGUGAAAUGCGUAGAUAUCAGGAGGAACACCGGUGGUGUAGACGGCUUUCUGGACCGUAACUGACGCUGAGACACGAAAGCGUGGGUAGCAAACAGG
rnacentral:rRNA from 1 species